GUGGCGAGUGGCGAACGGGUGAGUAAUGUAUCGGAACGUGCCUAGUAGCGGGGGAUAACUACGCGAAAGCGUAGCUAAUACCGCAUACGCCCUACGGGGGAAAGCAGGGGAUCGCAAGACCUUGCACUAUUAGAGCGGCCGAUAUCGGAUUAGCUAGUUGGUGGGGUAACGGCUCACCAAGGCGACGAUCCGUAGCUGGUUUGAGAGGACGACCAGCCACACUGGGACUGAGACACGGCCCAGACUCCUACGGGAGGCAGCAGUGGGGAAUUUUGGACAAUGGGGGAAACCCUGAUCCAGCCAUCCCGCGUGUGCGAUGAAGGCCUUCGGGUUGUAAAGCACUUUUGGCAGGAAAGAAACGUCAUGGGCUAAUACCCCGUGAAACUGACGGUACCUGCAGAAUAAGCACCGGCUAACUACGUGCCAGCAGCCGCGGUAAUACGUAGGGUGCAAGCGUUAAUCGGAAUUACUGGGCGUAAAGCGUGCGCAGGCGGUUCGGAAAGAAAGAUGUGAAAUCCCAGAGCU
rnacentral:rRNA from 1 species